AAUGGCACUGCAUGAAUUCACGGUUGUUGUUUGGGCCGUGCAUCCAGUGGUUCCAUACC
rnacentral:pre_miRNA from 1 species